CUCUCUCUCUCUCUCUCUCUCUCUCUCUCAGCCUCCAAUUUCACCAUCGUCGUUUAGAGAAUUUCUCCUUCAAAGCUUCAAAACCAAUUCCAACGACCUCUCUCUUUUUAGAUUCGACGGUGCGUUCCCGUCAAUCUCGCCGGAAGGUUUUGCUUUCUGGGUUUUUCUCUCUAAUCGCCGGAAGGAUCAAAAUUGAUUUCUAAGAAGAAUGAGAUUCAGAGUUUAACCUCGGAACACAUCAACAACUCCAAGCUAGUUCCUCCUCAUAUCUUAACAAGCCCUUCUUCUUUCCAAGACUUAAACCUAAGACUUAACCGAUGGAUGAUGAAGAAGAACAGUCUCCUAGUAGUGGUGGUGGUGGGCAAUCAUCAUCAUGUGCAUCCGAAUCUAGAAUGCUA